AGCAAGAGACUACCGGUAAUCCAAAGAGUAGCAGUCGAGCUAUUAAGAGAUCUGAUUUGUAAUUGAUUUGUCUCUUUCUGAUUUUUUUGAUGUAUUAAUGUAGUUAUUAUUUUGUGCCACAUACUGUCCACUAACCCAAAACCCUUCAAACUUCAAUUUUCAGUCCAACUCAAAGCGAGCGUGAAGUGCAGAGGUGGAUGCUGGUGUAAUCCAUCCCAUAUGUUGGCUUUCCUGAAAGCACACAUAUAAAAUCCCACUCUUGUGGAGGGACCCUACGCCGAGCCUGUGAGUAAUGCCACCAGUUUGACUCUUUUGCAGCAAGCCUGGGCCAAGCUAAUGAAUAACGAUGGCUACACACAAACCUCUUCCUCAGGAUUUGAAAGAUGUGUUCUCCACAACAUUAUAGCCAGCAGCAAACAGAGUUGUUUCUCUGCAAAACAGAAAAGGCUGUGUGUGUUUGUGUUUUAACAGAUUGCAUACUGUUGAUUUAUUUCAUAACUUUUAAAGUGAGGUGAUGCUGCCGCCCACAGUCUCGGCCCUGUUGUUUCUGUUUCUCUUCACUCUGUCUGAGUUUUCUCUUCAUCAAAUGAAAAACAGAAGAAGCAGGACCACCAUACAGCACUGGGUCUGUGGGAGGCUUUGAAAGCAGUCCAGGUGUCACAAAUGAGACAGAGCAACACACUGUGGAUUGGUUUAGGAAAGUGGGAGGAUGGCCCCCGAAGCCCCUGGCAGCCCGACGCUGCCAUCAUCUCCGUAACUGGCAGCUAUAUUGUCCACAGUAGCAGCUGUGACUCGCCUCGGGGACGGAGCGCUUGUCUCACCGCACAUGGUCACAACAAUGAAAGUCACAUGGGUUUGGAAUUGACAUGAGAGAGCUACGAGCCAGAAGCAGGAAACAGGCUGAUGAGAUUUGCACAGUGUGCUGUUAUUGGCUCGAACAAUGGGGCUGAACAGACGAGAGCGGCCCAGUGAUUCCUCACCGUCAGGCGGUAUCCACAGCAGAGUGAAGGGAAGCAGGACCUGGAGGUGACGUCAAAUUACCCCGAGUUCAGAAGUCGAAUGUCCUACUUUGAGUGGCAUUCCAGACGUUCUUUCCAAGAAGAGGUCUACAAAGAUGGUGAGAAAGUCCCAGAGAGGAGAACAGAGCGCAGUGGUGCCAGAGCAGUUUCCAUGACUCCCCUGCAGAAAGCCAGCGAUGCUGUAGCGAUGAGUUGCAGCGAACAUGACAGUGUGGUGGGUUUGGUCUGUUAUUAUUGUAACUUCCUGUGGCUAACCACUGUGCUGCGGGUGUGUACACACUGACACACAAACGAUCAGACACCUGAGAUGUUCUCGGGAGUCCUGAUGACUGAUAAAACCAAACCCAACAGGGCAUUUCCAUUUGAAAGUGUCCAUGUUUAAGCAGGAAAAGGGCUACCUUAUAUUUCCCACCCUUAUUACCUUAGCAACAAGCAACCAAUGCUAUAAUAUUAAUAUCAACUUACUAGGUGUUCAAAUUAAAUCUCACCCAGUUUAAUGCAUUUUUAAUAUAAUAAUAAUAAUAAUAAUAGCGAGUUUAAUUUAUAUAGUGCCUUUCAAUAGCUUUACAGUUGAGAUACAACAAAGAAAACA